rnacentral:tRNA from 1 species
GUCCCUGUAGCUUACAAACAAAGCAUGGCACUGAAGAUGCCAAGAUGGCCCCCACUAUGCCCAAGGACA